GACGAACGCUGGCGGCGUGCUUAACACAUGCAAGUCGAACGGAAAGGCCCUGCUUUUGUGGGGUGCUCGAGUGGCGAACGGGUGAGUAACACGUGAGUAACCUGCCCUUGACUUUGGGAUAACUUCAGGAAACUGGGGCUAAUACCGGAUAGGAGCUCCUGCUGCAUGGUGGGGGUUGGAAAGUUUCGGCGGUGGGGGAUGGACUCGCGGCUUAUCAGCUUGUUGGUGGGGUAGUGGCUUACCAAGGCUUUGACGGGUAGCCGGCCUGAGAGGGUGACCGGCCACAUUGGGACUGCGAUACGGCCCAGACUCCUACGGGAGGCAGCAGUGGGGAAUAUUGCACAAUGGGCGGAAGCCUGAUGCAGCAACGCCGCGUGCGGGAUGACGGCCUUCGGGUUGUAAACCGCUUUCGCCUGUGACGAAGCGUGAGUGACGGUAAUGGGUAAAGAAGCACCGGCUAACUACGUG
rnacentral:rRNA from 1 species